CUUGUCAUUCAGACUCGGGCAUAGCCUAUCACCUUGUUUUUCAGACCUUGGCUCAGCCGAGACUCGCCACAUAUUUUCGACUCGUGAACUGGCUCUGAUACCAAAUGUAACGACCCAGUUCACUAGCAAUAAUAACUCGUUGGGUCCAAACACCGGCUCAAAAUGCUUAAGCCCGGUUAUUAUUACUAGUGUCUAAGUCUCUUAUAUAUCCAAUCACAUUCCCAUUCAUAUCCGAUGUGGGAUUAUUGGAGUGUGACAAGAAAUCAACUAGGCUCCUAUUAAUAGUAUAUGAAUAGUUACAAUCCACUUUUCUACCCUUAAAUUAUUACCACUCUACCAAACUCUCACUAAACUCUAGACAUCCAAGGAUAAAAA
rnacentral:lncRNA from 1 species